UACGUAGGGGGCAAGCGUUGUUCGGAAUUACUGGGCGUAAAGGGUUUGUAGGCGGUCUUCUAAGUCUUGUGUGAAAUCCCUCGGCUCAACUGUGGGCUUGCAGCUGAUACGGGCGGGCUGGAGUUCGGUAGGGGAGACUGGAAUUCCUGGUGUAGCGGUGAAAUGCGCAGAUAUCAGGAGGAACACCGGUGGCGAAGGCGGGUCUCUGGGCCGAUACUGACGCUGAGACGCGAAAGCGUGGGGAGCGAACAGG
rnacentral:rRNA from 1 species